GACGUAGGUGGCAAGCGUUGUCCGGAGUUAUUGGGCGUAAAGCGCGCGCAGGCGGUUCGGUAAGUCCAUGGUGAAAGCGCCCGGCUCAACUGGGCGAGUGCCGUGGGGACUGCCGAGCUGGAGGGGAGCAGAGGCGAGUGGAAUUCCGGGUGUAGUGGUGAAAUGCGUAGAGAUCCGGAGGAACACCGGUGGCGAAGGCGGCAUCCUGGACCGGUAUUGACGCUGAGGCGCGAAAGCGUGGGGAGCGAACAGG
rnacentral:rRNA from 1 species